AUGAGCAUUGUGGCAUCUCUCCAGAGAGGCUAAGGGAGGAACAAAGACUUAGGCAGGAGGCAGAACAGGAGGCUGUUCAACAGAGGAUGAGCGCGAUGUUCCAGUACAUGCAAAGUAUUGGAGCAGCUGUAGGUCAACCUCCUCCACCUGAGUUAUUCCAACCUAUACA